GGUGGGCUCAGUAGUAGAGUGCUUGCCUUGCAUGCAUGAGAGCCUGGGUUCAAUUCCUCAGCACCA
rnacentral:tRNA from 1 species